GCUCGCUUUAAAUGGAUGAGUCGUCUGGCGUGUGUCCUUACAAGCGUGAUAGUUAUUUCGUUUGGCUUGGCGCACGUGUGUAGAUGGCUUUCUAACCCGGACGGAUUGGGAGCACGGUGCGCAUUCCGGUGCGCGCGGAGAGCCUCAAGCGGCCAUUUUACACAGACCUCAAAUCAGGUAGGACUACCCGCUGAACUUAA
rnacentral:misc_RNA from 1 species